UUUAAUUCAACGUUGAAGAAAUUCAUAACCUGUGGCACUUUUGACAGCCGCCAUGUUUAAUUCAUAAAAACUUUGAUUUUCUUUGUGGGUUUCGAGUCAACGUACCUAGGAAAUAAGAAGAAAGGAAAUUAAUUUAGAGAAAAACGACUGAGACAUAAUCAUGAACGAGACGAAUACUAGCAGCAGCAGAGUCUCCUACUCGCAGUUGGAGGCUCUGCUUGCUUUUAUGGAGGAGCACCGGGAACUGGCUGCCGGGUUCCUAAGAUCAACGGAAGCCCGGCACAAAAGCCAAAAGCUAUGGGAGGAACUCGGGAUCACUCUCAACUGCAUAGGCGGGGGGUCAAUUAAGACCGCGAAAGGGUGGUCUAAAUACUGGAGCGACUAUAAGAAUAAAUUGAAGGCGCGGGUGAGGUCCCUCAACAAGUCCCACACUGGGACUGGAGGAGGGGGAGCACUAGGCCCUCCUCUGUCUGCAAUAGAGGAGCGGGCAGUGGGGAUAAUGGGUCCCCAAUUUGGGAAAAACAUAAAAAAUGUACAGGUUGACCCGCUGCCCCCUCUCAAUUUAAAU